GUGGAAAACAACCUGCCGAAAGGCGGGGCUAAUGUUCCAUAAGACCACGGGAUGACAUCAUCCAGAGGUAAAAGCUCCGCAAGGGGCGCUAGAGGAGGGAGCCCGAAUCCUAUCAGCUAGUUGGUGAGGUAACGGCUCACCAAGGCUUCGACGGGUAGCCGGCCUGAAAGGGUGACCGGCCACACUGGCACUGAGACACGGGCCAG
rnacentral:rRNA from 1 species